UUAGCCAUGCAUGUCUAAGUAUAAAUUCUUGUACGAUGAAACUGCAGACGGCUCAUUACAACAGUGAUAAACUAAUAGACUUUCGGGUUUUACCUUUUGGAUAACCGCAGUAAAUCGGGGCUAAUACAUAGAAGCGAGGGGUGACUGAUUUAUCGGAAGCUCCGCGAUUAUUAGCAUUCAACCAAUACCCGCAAGGGUUCUGUUGGUGAAACCGAAUAAUAUUGCAGAUCGAAGAUUUAUCUUCGACAAGUCUACUGUGUCACUGCCCUAUCAACUUUCGAUGGUACGGUAUUGGCCUACCAUGGUUGUAACGGGUAACGGGGAAUUAGGGUUCGAUUCCGGAGAGGGAGCCUGAGAAAUGGCUACCACUUCUACGGAAGGCAGCAGGCGCGCAAAUUACUCAAUCCCAAUACGGGGAAGUAGUGACAAUAAAUAUCGAUGCCUAUCCAUUUAUGGAAGGGUAAUUGAAAUGAACACAAAUUAAAACUCUUAAUUAAUACAAUUGGAGGGCAAGUCUGGUGCCAGCAGCCGCGGUAAUUCCAGCUCCAAUAGCAUAUACUAAAGUUGUUGCAGUUAAAAAGCUCGUAGUUGAAGUUAAAGCUUUAUUUGGGUUAAAAAUCCAUUUGCCUUUUAACGGUUAAAUAGGAUUCCAGUAUUGCUUUUUUAAAGUUCAGUUUGUAUUGCCUUUGGUAGUAUUUAUUUGGACAUUUCACUGUGAGAAAAUUGUGGUGUUUAAAGCAGGCGUCUCUGUCUGAUCUUUUGCAGCAUGGUAUGAUGGAACAUGACAUUUUUGCG
rnacentral:rRNA from 1 species